UAGUCGUUUGAUAGUGCAGAAUUUAAAAAUCAGAUCUGGGCCAGAAACCUGUUUUCUCUCUUUCCCAAGGGAGUGUGGCCUUGACCUUCCUAAAUCAGGGACUAAAAUGUCUAUAAAGCCUUUGCACUGGGCAUGAUUUGGAUAGAGUAAGCGCCUAGUCCCUGACUACUUGUGUCUCUGUUGUGGGGGAAACUACAUGUUUAUCCUCUCAGUGUACUGAGAAGAAAUUUGUUACAUUGGUGGAAUAUUUGAAAUGAAGAGGUCCCAAAUUUAGAGCUCCAUUUUGAAACCCAAAGAAACUAUUUGUAUUAAUCUCUUGGAAUCAAAAUUAUGUCAAAUUCAAGGUGUUUAUGAUAUGAUUCCACUUAAUAUCUCCACAGGAUCUGUCCUUUGUAAAGCCUCUGUUUUGCCUUGCAUCCAACUAUUUUUUUUCUUUCCUUUUUUUUUGGUCUGACAACUCCAGAUGUGUUUCUGUCAUCUUAGUUUUUGUGCAAAGAUACAAAAAUGUAUACUUUGAAAAAUCACAGUAAGCUCAGGUUAAAGUUUCUAAAAAGCAGGAGAAAAAAUGAGCAGAGAGGAACUAUAGAAAAGUCAUGCAUUCUAUUCCUGUUCUCACUUCACCUUUGUUCCCCAUCUUUACUCUUAACUGCCUUCUUUUUUUUCCCCUUGAAACUGACUACUUCUUUUUAUUCUUCCGAGUGUAUUAUCUCAAGGCUAAAAAGAUUUCUGUUUAGAAAGCAUGAAGAUUUGUUCAUUUAAAGAAAUGCUGAGUUUUGAUGUUUAGGAGAAUACAUGAAGAUAUACCUGGAAAGGAAUGUGUCAUAAUGAUUACAUUGUUUUUGGAUAUGUAAUCUGGAAGCUUUCCCAGGAUAAGUUGAAAAAGAGACUGGAGGCAAGAAAAGCAGAUGACUUUGGGAAGAACCUAAACAGUAGGAAAUGAAGACAUGCGUACUUUGGAGUGAUGAUAAUGAAAAAAGUGGAAAUGGCAUGAGAGACAUUAUAAAAGAAGAGCUGAUGGGACUGGAUUACUGAUAGGGCCAAAGAAGAUGAAGGAGAUCCCAGGACCCUGAGAUCAUGACCUGAGCCGAAGGCAGCGGCUUAACCCACUGAGCCACCCAGGCGCCCGAGAAAAACUAUAUAUUAAUCUUGACUUGUAAAUGAACAGAACCUGGACCUUCAUACACAUUGAUACCUUCAUUUCCCUCAACUCCAGCUGGUAAAGAUUGACAGGAGGAAUAAACUAAGUGGUUUGUAUAAUGGCAAGGGUCGUGUAGGGUACAUUCUUGAGGCAGUGGGAUAUGUUGUCGAUUCCUGGUGAACUGUACUUUUUUUCCAAUUUACAUAGUUCUAAUGUUUGGGUUUUUUUCUGAUUAUUAAAGUAAUAAAUAAUUAAAAAAAAAAGUAAUAAAUAAUUAUAAAGUUCCAGGUAAUAGAAAAAGGAGUGAAGAAAGUGAAAAGUCACAACACCUACAGAUAACUUUGGUUAACAUUCUACUAUGUAUGUAUCUUUUUUCCAUGCAUAUGUAGAUUAAGAAAAAUAGGAUCAUAUAAUACCUAUGGUUUUUUAUAUGCAUGGUUUUAAUAACGUUUUAAAUUUUAAUUUUUUAAAGGAUUUUAUUUAUAUAAUUGUCAGAG